AUGGAAGCUGAAAACAUAAAGCUUGAUGAUGAUGUUGUUGUGCCUGGUACGCUUGAUGAAGACGACGCCAGUCAAAAUAAUAUAAUACCAUUGUCCUAUGCUGGCAAGACUCGUUGUAUGACUCACUCCUAUCGUGAUGGAAUGGUUGGUUCCCAUGUCCACACCUCACCUGAUAUAAUCACCAGCUUCACAUGUAACCCAAAGUGGGCUCAAAUAACAAAGACGCUUAAGCCUGAACAACAGCAAGUCAAUAAGGCUGCUGAGACUGAUCGUAUCUAUCGCAUGAAGCUGCAUGAGUAUCUGCAAAAGAUCAAUGAAGGGAAGAUAUUUGGGCCUGUUAUCUCUGUUAUCCACGACAUCGAAUUUUUAAAAAAAGGGCUACCGCAUGCCCGGGUCCUUGUUUGGCAGAAGAAAAAACAUAACAAAGUGGUCAUCCCAGCUUUCAUGAAAACCUUUGCUUCAGCCACUGGAUCUGAACUUACUGAUACUAUUGGCGAUGUUCCUGGGUAUGGUCAGAUGCCUAAGCUAGAAAGAGAUGAGCCGGCUGUUGCAGCGUAUGAUUCAUCAGGCACAUUAGAGUCGAGCUGA
rnacentral:rRNA from 1 species